rnacentral:rRNA from 1 species
GUAAUGCAGUCGAGCGGACAGAAGGGAGCUUGCUCCCGGAUGUUAGCGGCGGACGGGUGAGUAACACGUGGGUAACCUGCCUGUAAGACUGGGAUAACUCCGGGAAACCGGAGCUAAUACCGGAUAGUUCCUUGAACCGCAUGGUUCAAGGAUGAAAGACGGUUUCGGCUGUCACUUACAGAUGGACCCGCGGCGCAUUAGCUAGUUGGUGAGGUAACGGCUCACCAAGGCGACGAUGCGUAGCCGACCUGAGAGGGUGAUCGGCCACACUGGGACUGAGACACGGCCCAGACUCCUACGGGAGGCAGCAGUAGGGAAUCUUCCGCAAUGGACGAAAGUCUGACGGAGCAACGCCGCGUGAGUGAUGAAGGUUUUCGGAUCGUAAAGCUCUGUUGUUAGGGAAGAACAAGUGCAAGAGUAACUGCUUGCACCUUGACGGUACCUAACCACAAAGCCACGGCUAACUACGUGCCAGCAGCCGCGGUAAUACGUAGGUGGCAAGCGUUGUCCGGAAUUAUUGGGCGUAAAGGGCUCGCAGGCGGUUUCUUAAGUCUGAUGUGAAAGCCCCCGGCUCAACCGGGGAGGGUCAUUGGAAACUGGGAAACUUGAGUGCAGAAGAGGAGAGUGGAAUUCCACGUGUAGCGGUGAAAUGCGUAGAGAUGUGGAGGAACACCAGUGGCGAAGGCGACUCUCUGGUCUGUAACUGACGCUGAGGAGCGAAAGCGUGGGGAGCGAACAGGAUUAGAUACCCUGGUAGUCCACGCCGUAAACGAUGAGUGCUAAGUGUUAGGGGGUUUCCGCCCCUUAGUGCUGCAGCUAACGCAUUAAGCACUCCGCCUGGGGAGUACGGUCGCAAGACU